rnacentral:lncRNA from 1 species
AUGAUGACAGAAAUCACUUCCUCCACAAGCUUCGAACUCCAGACUGAGCAGCACUCACCUCUCUCAACCACCACCUGGAGGUUGGUUGUCUCAUCGUUGAACCACCCUGGGAUCUCCACACGGCAGCAGUACGUCCCACUGUCUGUUUCCUGGGCAUUCAGGAUGGUGAGGGACACGUUGCCCUUCAGCAGGUCCCCUUUCAGCACAUACUUCGUGUGAUGCCUCUCUGUCACCUUCCGCCCAUCUGUCCAGAUAAUGGGUUGAGAACAUUUGGAAGCGGGGCAGGCGUCCCGGCCCCAGCACAUUGAGGUGAUGUCGUAUUCUGUCUUAACCCUGUAAAAGCAGGGCACGGUGACAUUCUGACCAACCUCUCCCUUCACCAGCAGUCCCGACACUGUGGGGCCUGUGGACAGAAACACAGACAUUAAAUAGGUUGCGUGCAGCGGGCAAAAAGGUGAAGAGAGAAUGGAGUUUGGACCCGCACAGCUCAUGACCACAUUCAGCUGUUUUUCGUGCCCACUGAGUUACCUGUAAGCCAGAUCAGAAGGAUCCAGUCCAGGAAGAAAUGAGAAGACAUUGUGGCCAAGGAUGAGGAACACUCUUAUUCACUCUUCGUGCAUCUACAUUCGAAAUAAACUAUCGUUUUCAUAAACUGCUGGUUUUACUUCUCAGUACUAGCACGUCAGCUUCAAACAGGAUGAUGCCCUUUGGUCUGAUCAGGAUUGCCUUUUCUGUGGUUAGUCUGUUAGUCACUGAAGCUGCUUCUGCUGCUGAGAACGCAUGCAGCUGAAUGCUU